rnacentral:tRNA from 1 species
CAUAUUAAAGUUUGUUAUUGAAUUUUUCUGUUACAAUGAAUAGGUCUCAAAAUUGUUGAGUAAUAUGAGAG